rnacentral:rRNA from 2 species
UGUGGUGAUGGUUGCAAGAAGGACACACCUGUUCCCAUCCCGAACACAGCAGUUAAGCUUCUUAGCGCCGAUGGUAGUUGGACCUUGGGUCCUGUGAGAGUAGGUCGUCGCCACGC